rnacentral:rRNA from 1 species
CCUACGGGUGGCAGCAGUGCGGAAUAUUGGUCAAUGGCCGGAAGGCUGAACCAGCCAUGCCGCGUGAAGGUCAGUGCCCUCUUGGCGUUAAACUUCUUUUGUGCGUGAGCAAUAAUGGUCACGUGUGGCCAGACGAGAGUACCGUACGAAUAAGCAUCUGCUAACUCCGUGCCAGCAGCUGCGGUAAUACGGGGGAUGCAAGCGUUAUCCGGAUUUAUUGGGUUUAAAGGGUGCGUAGGCGGUGAGGUAAGUCAGCGGUGAAAUGCCCCCGCUCAACGGGGUGAAGUGCCAUUGAUACUGCCUGGCUGGAAUGCGGAUGCCGUGGGAGGAAUGUGUGGUGUAGCGGUGACAUGCAUAGAGAUCACACAGAACACCGAUUGCGAAGGCAUCUCACGAAUCCGCGAUUGACGCUGAUGCACGAAAGCGUGGGUAUCAAACAGGAUGAGAUACCCUAGUAGUC